CUGAGAGUUUGAUCCUGGCUCAGAACGAACGCUGGCGGCAGGCUUAACACAUGCAAGUCGAACGAUCUCUUCGGAGAUAGUGGCAGACGGGUGAGUAACGCGUGGGAAUAUACCUUUCGGUACGGAACAACAGUUGGAAACGACUGCUAAUACCGUAUGCGCCCUACGGGGGAAAGAUUUAUCGCCGAAGGAUUAGCCCGCGUUGGAUUAGCUAGUUGGUGGGGUAAAGGCCUACCAAGGCGACGAUCCAUAGCUGGUCUGAGAGGAUGAUC
rnacentral:rRNA from 16 species